rnacentral:rRNA from 1 species
UACAGAGGGGGCAAGCGUUGUUCGGAAUUACUGGGCGUAAAGGGCGCGUAGGCGGCCUGUUAAGUCGAACGUGAAAUCCCCGGGCUCAACCCGGGAACUGCGUCCGAUACUGGUUGGCUUGAAUCCGGGAGAGGGAUGCGGAAUUCCAGGUGUAGCGGUGAAAUGCGUAGAUAUCUGGAGGAACACCGGUGGCGAAGGCGGCAUCCUGGACCGGCAUUGACGCUGAGGCGCGAAAGCCAGGGGAGCAAACGGG